rnacentral:rRNA from 1 species
AAUACGUUCCCGGGCCUUGUACACACCGCCCGUCACACCGUGGAAGUCGGUUGUACCGGAAGCUAGUGAGCCAACCCGGUAAGGGAAGCAGCUACCCAGGGUACGACCGGUAACCGGGGUG